rnacentral:rRNA from 1 species
GGUUAAGCUAGUAAGAGCACACGGAGGAUGCCUAGGCGCCAGGAGCCGAAGAAGGACGUGGCGAACAACGAAAAGGCCUCGGGGAGCUGUAAGCAAGCGUGGAUCCGGGGGUGUCCGAAUGGGGAAACCCGGCUGUGGUAAUGCACAGUCACUCCUACCUGAAUUCAUAGGGUAGGUAGAGGCAGACCAGGGGAACUGAAACAUCUAAGUACCCUGAGGAAGAGAAAACAAGAGUGAUUCCGUCAGUAGCGGCGAGCGAACGCGGAACAGCCUAAACCGAAGAGCUUGCUCUUCGGGGUUGUGGGACGUCUCCCAUGGAGUUACAAAGGAACGGUUUAAGCGAAGAGGUCUGGAAAGGCCCGCUGGAAGAGGUAAAAGCCCUGUAGCUGAAAAAUCGUUCCCUCCGAGACGGAUCCCGAGUAGUGCGGGGCACGUGAAACCCCGUAUGAAUCCGGCAGGACCAUCUGCCAAGGCUAAAUACUCCCUGGCGACCGAUAGUGAAACAGUACCGUGAGGGAAAGGUGAAAAGCACCCCGGAAGGGGAGUGAAAUAGUACCUGAAACCGUGUGCUUACAAGAAGUCAGAGCCCAUUUUAGGGGUGAUGGCGUGCCUUUUGUAGAAUGAACCGGCGAGUUACGUUUAACGUGCAAGGUUAAGGCGAGGAGCCGGAGCCGCAGCGAAAGCGAGUCUGAAUAGGGCGACGAAGUACGUGGGCGUAGACCCGAAACCGUGUGAUCUACCCCUGUCCAGGGUGAAGGUGCGGUAACACGCACUGGAGGCCCGAACCCACGCACGUUGAAAAGUGCGGGGAUGAGGUGGGGGUAGCGGAGAAAUUCCAAUCGAACUCGGAGAUAGCUGGUUCUCCCCGAAAUAGCUUUAGGGCUAGCCUCGGAUUUGAAGUCGUGGAGGUAGAGCACUGAUUGGGUGCGGGGCCCGCAAGGGUUACCAAGCUCAGUCAAACUCCGAAUGCCAUGGACUUGCGUCCGGGAGUCAGACAGUGAGUGCUAAGAUCCAUUGUCAAAAGGGAAACAGCCCAGACCAUCAGCUAAGGUCCCCAAGUGUGUGUUAAGUGGGAAAGGAUGUGGAGUUGCACAGACAACCAGGAUGUUGGCUUAGAAGCAGCCACCAUUGAAAGAGUGCGUAAUAGCUCACUGGUCGAGUGACUCUGCGCCGAAAAUGUAACGGGGCUAAACACACCACCGAAGCUAUGGCUUGAUGCUUGCAUCAGGGGUAGGGGAGCGUUGUAUGCGGAUUGAAGGUUGACUGUAAGGACAGCUGGACUGCAUACAAGUGAGAAUGCCGGUAUGAGUAACGAAAAGAUCAGUGAGAAUCUGAUCCGCCGAAAGCCCAAGGUUUCCUGAGGAAGGCUCGUCCGCUCAGGGUAAGUCGGGACCUAAGGCGAGGCCGACAGGCGUAGUCGAAGGACAACAGGUUGAUAUUCCUGUACCACCAUAAUCCGUGAUGAGCAAUGGGGGGACGCAGGAGGGUAGUGACGCGGACUGAUGGAUGUCCGUCCAAGCAGCGAGGCUGGUGUAUAGGCAAAUCCGUACACCAUAAGGCUGGGCUGUGAUGGGGAGCGAAAAUUGUAGUAGCGAAGGUCAUGAUCUCACACUGCCAAGAAAAGCCUCUAGCCAGGAGAAGGUGCCCGUACCGCAAACCGACACAGGUAGGCGAGAAGAGAAUUCUAAGGCGCGCGGAAGAACUCUCGUUAAGGAACUCGGCAAAAUGACCCCGUAACUUCGGGAGAAGGGGUGCCUCGGUAGGGUGAAUAGCCCGAGGGGGCCGCAGUGAAAAGGCCCAAGCGACUGUUUAGCAAAAACACAGGUCUGUGCGAAGCCGCAAGGCGAAGUAUACGGGCUGACGCCUGCCCGGUGCUGGAAGGUUAAGGGGAGCGGUUAGGGGUUAAACCCGAAGCUGUGAACCGAAGCCCCAGUAAACGGCGGCCGUAACUAUAACGGUCCUAAGGUAGCGAAAUUCCUUGUCAGGUAAAUUCUGACCCGCACGAAUGGCGUAACGACUUGGGCGCUGUCUCAACGAGAGAUCCGGUGAAAUUUUAAUACCUGUGAAGAUGCAGGUUACCCGCGACAAGACGGAAAGACCCCAUGGAGCUUUACUGCAGCUUGAUAUUGAACUUGGGUACGAUCUGUACAGGAUAGGUGGGAGCCUUGGAAGCCGGAGCGCCAGCUUCGGUGGAGGCGCCGUUGGGAUACCACCCUGAUCGUAUCUAGGUUCUAACCUGGUACCGUAAACCGGUACGGGGACCGUGUCAGGCGGGCAGUUUGACUGGGGCGGUCGCCUCCUAAAGAGUAACGGAGGCGUCCCAAGGUUCCCUCAGAAUGGUUGGAAAUCAUUCGAAGAGUGCAAAGGCAGAAGGGAGCUUGACUGCGAGACCUACAAGUCGAGCAGGGACGAAAGUCGGGCUUAGUGAUCCGGUGGUACCGCAUGGAAGGGCCAUCGCUCAACGGAUAAAAGCUACCCUGGGGAUAACAGGCUUAUCUCCCCCAAGAGUCCACAUCGACGGGGAGGUUUGGCACCUCGAUGUCGGCUCAUCGCAUCCUGGGGCUGAAGUAGGUCCCAAGGGUUGGGCUGUUCGCCCAUUAAAGCGGUACGCGAGCUGGGUUCAGAACGUCGUGAGACAGUUCGGUCCCUAUCUGUCGUGGGCGCAGGAAAUUUGAGAGGAGCUGUCCUUAGUACGAGAGGACCGGGAUGGACGUACCGCUGGUGCACCAGUUGUUCCGCCAGGAGCAUGGCUGGGUAGCUACGUACGGACGGGAUAAGCGCUGAAAGCAUCUAAGCGUGAAGCCCCCCUCAAGAUGAGAUUUCCCAAGUUAGUAAGACCCCUUGAAGACGACGAGGUAGAUAGGUUGGAGGUGGAAGUGCAGCAAUGCAUGGAGCUGACCAAUACUAAUCGGUCGAGGGCUUAUCCAA